GACAGGAGGAGCAAGUGUUGUUCGGAAUCAUUGGGCGUAAAGAGUAUGUAGGCGGCUAUUUAAGUCAGGCGCGUAAGCCCACGGCUCAACCGUGGAAUUGCGUUUGAAACUAUUUAGCUUGAGUACAGGAGAGGAAGGCGGAAUUCCCAGUGUAGCGGUGAAAUGCAUUGAUAUUGGGAAGAACACCGGAGGCGAAGGCGGCCUUCUGGUCUGAUACUGACGCUGAGAUACGAAAGCCAGGGGAGUGAACGGG
rnacentral:rRNA from 1 species